UUUUCACUCGUGCAGUUGGGAACAAUGUGGGCUUUUAACCACAAAAUCAUCCUUGGUCUGUGCAGAGUUUAGUGCAAACUCUCCUUCUAUUUCCUUCCCAAACUCACCUUGGCUGUGGGAUAUGGGAAGAGAUAUGAUCCUGGAUUUCCUACAGGAAUGUGUGAGAAAUAGAUGUGGAAGUGGAACAACAAGCUGUUUAAAAAGUACCAUGAAGGAUCCAUGGGCCAAGGCAGAUCAACGUUCAGCAAGUGAUUUACAGGUGUGCCAGCCACUGUCAGCCAAAGCACAGUGCUCUGGGAUUCAAACAGCACUGAAGAGUCCACCUGCAGGGUGCCACAGCCUCUGCAGCUGCCUCAGGUUGUGCUGCUGCUGUUGUGUGUCUGAGUCCCAGCGCUGGAAAUGAAAAGGUUCAGAGAAUCCUGACACCAAGGAGAGGCACAAAGCUGCACUCUGCUCCUGACAGCUUCUCUUUACACCACAGCUUUUCCUCUGAGCAUGUUCCAGUGUCUCUGCACUCCCAGUCCACCUGCAGCAGCCAGGGCCAGGCUCUCAUAGCCUGGCUCUCCUGCUGGGAGCCUCUCAGAGCACGAGCCACCUCCCUUCCAGCAGAUCGCAGGUGUUCUCCACAUGGCGUGAGCAGGUGA
rnacentral:lncRNA from 1 species